AUGGCGGCCGUGGCGCCUACCCCCGACAACCUCGACCCCCCGCCGUCCACUCCUCCAAACACGGCAACCCCUCCUCAGGCCACCGCCACGUCCACCCCGCCGAACCCGGCAACCCCUAAUCCCCCGGCCUCCAACCCCACGAUGUCAAGCCCUAACCCUAACCCNNNNNNNNNNNNNNNNNNNNNNNNNNNNNNNNNNNNNNNNNNNNNNNNNNNNNNNNNNNUAUCCUUCGCCCCUUCCUUCCGGCCGCUGGGUGCACCGCCCCCGCCGCAGGUGCAGCAGUACGGUGCUAUACGUAAUCCGGGCUACCUGAUGGGACAGCCGAUGCAGCCGCCAGGCGUGCACCACGUGAUGCGUCCGCCGACCAUGUACGCGCCCCAGCCGGGUCCGUACAUGCAGCAGCCGGGCGUCGCCGUUCCUCCCGGUGUGCAUCGUUUUGCUGGACCAUAUACUAUGAUGCGUCCAUGUUUUCCUCCACGCCCAAUGCCUCCUGUUGGUGUUGUGCAAAUUCAACGGCCAGCAACAAUUCCUGGAAUUCGUGGUGCUCCUCCUAUGGUAGCCCCUCCUGCCAGACCGCCUGCUCCAGCUGUCACACCCGUUGACAAACCACCAACUGCAGUUUAUGUCGGGAAGAUCGCCCCAACAGUGGACAAUGGUUUGCUUCUUUCACUUCUUCGGAUUUGUGGACCUGUCAAGAGUUGGAAGCGCACCCAAAAUCCAAGUAAUGGCAAACCAGUAGCGUUUGGCUUUUGUGAGUUUGAAUCUGCUGAAGGCAUCCUUCGUGCGACGCGGUUGCUGAACAAAUUGAGCAUUGAUGGGCAAGAACUGGUGGUUAAUAUUAAUGAUGCCACCAAAGAGUACCUGAAGAAACAUGUUGAAGAAAAGAAGAAGGUACAUGAGAACACCAAAAAGGAGGAACAUGAAGGUGGGGAUGGGACUUCUGCUGUUGCUGAAAAUGAAUCAUUGAAGCUUGUUUCUGGUAAAACAGAUGAAACAGAAGAUUCCGGAGAUAAGGAUAGUGAAGAAAACACCAAGAAAUUUGGGAUUGUUACAAAUGAAGAUUCUGAGGCUGAUAAGGCUGCUGCAGAACUAAUAAACAGUAUUAUUGAAGAGUGGUUAAAGACUCGACCCCUGCCGCCGCCACCACCACCCCUGCCGGUUCAACCAUCUGCUGACAUCUCAUCCAAACAUAAUAACGGGGAGUCUGUUGUCGACAUGGCAAUGACUGAUUCUGAAGAUAAUGAUGAUUGUGUUGACAAAAGGACAGUUGGUGAAACUGAAAAGACAGAAAAUGACUCUCUUGAUAGGAGGAAAGAUAAAGAGCAUGAUAAGGAGAAGCAGGAAAAGGAAAAAGAACUUCAAAGAUAUGAGCGUGAGCGUGAGCGAGAAAGAGUCAGGAGGGAUAGAGAUAAGGAACUCAAGCAUAGAGAAGUGGAAAGGCUGUACAAAGAUCACCUUAAAGAGUGGGAAUCCAGGGAGAGAGAUAAAGAAUAUCAAAGACAAUACGAGAAGGACCGUGAGAAGGAAAAAGAACGUGAACGCAAAAGGGAGAUCAUGAAGCAGGAAGAUGAAAGCGACGAAGAGGAUUCGAGGAAAAGAAGACGAAGGAACAGUAACACACUUGAAGAGAGGAAAAGGCGGAGGCAACGCGAAAAGCAGGAAGACUUGGCGGACAAAUUAAAAGAGGAACAGGAAAUUGCUGAAGCAAGGAGGCGUGCAAUAGAGCUGCAACAGCAGGCAGAUGAAGCAGCUGCGGCAGAGUCUGCUAUAUUUAUGGAGGUUGAUGGUGAUGACGGGAAGGAAGCAGAUGCACCAAACAAGCCGAUUGUUUCAGAUGAUGAUAAUGUUGUCAGCAGUGCUAAUGGUGUUGAUGCAGAUGAUGGCAAAACUCAUAAGGACUGUAACGGUGAUGAAGCAAGUAUGGUACCUGGUCAAAUUCUAGAUAUCAAACAAAAUAUCAAUGCUCCAGCAAAAAAGUUGGGUUUUGGUUUGAUUGGCUCUGGUAAACGGACAUCUGUUCCAUCAGUUUUUGCUGAAGAGGAUGACGAUGAUAAUAAGGAUAAACGGAUAAGACCUUUAGUACCUAUUGAUUACUCCACUGAGGAAUUGCAAGCUGUGGAGGCGGAUUCUUAUUCUGAUCAACCCAAUAAUAUUGUAGCAGCUGCUGAGUUUGCUAAGCGCAUCUUGGUAUCUAAUCAAAAGGAAGAGCAGCCUGAAACCGAAAGGAGUAGGAGAGCCAUUGAUAGAUCGACCCUAAGGGAUAAGAGUCGAAAUGAUGAAGAUGGUGCACGUCUUGGUGAUGACAGAAGAGAAAUGAUGCAUGAUCGAGACAAUGAUAAGCCCAAGUUAGAGAACAAGAAAGUUUUGGAUGCAAAACAAUUGAUUGACAUGAUUCCGAGGACAAAGGAAGAGCUUUUUUCCUAUGAUAUUAAUUGGGCAAUAUAUGAGAAGCAUGAGUUGCAUGAUAGAAUGAGGCCUUGGAUCUCGAAAAAGAUAAUCGAAUUUCUUGGUGAGGAGGAAUCGACUUUGGUGGAAUAUAUUGUCUCGUGCACCAAAGAUCAUGUCCAUGCAGCGAAAAUGCUGGAGCUCCUACAGUCAAUUUUGGACGUCGAGGCUGAAAUGUUUGUCCUUAAGAUGUGGAGGAUGCUAAUAUUUGAAAUUAAGAAAGUUGAAGCAGGACUAUCAGUAAGAGGGAAGGCUUGA
rnacentral:rRNA from 1 species